GAAUGUUAUCACGGGAGACACACGGCGGGUGCUAACGUCCGUCGUGAAGAGGGAAACAACCCAGACCGCCAGCUAAGGUCCCAAAGUCAUGGUUAAGUGGGAAACGAUGUGGGAAGGCCCAGACAGCCAGGAUGUUGGCUUAGAAGCAGCCAUCAUUUAAAGAAAGCGUAAUAGCUCACUGGUCGAGUCGGCCUGCGCGGAAGAUGUAACGGGGCUAAACCAUGCACCGAAGCUGCGGCAGCGAACGUAUCACUUAAAGCGAUUCAGCGGGUUACGAUUGACGGAGCGAAGCGACGUCAAAGCGUAUACAAAGUCGAGUCGGUUUAAGGAUACGUUCGUUGGGUAGGGGAGCGUUCUGUAAGCCUGUGAAGGUGUGUCGUGAGGCAUGCUGGAGGUAUCAGAAGUGCGAAUGCUGACAUAAGUAACGAUAAAGCGGGUGAAAAGCCCGCUCGCCGGAAGACCAAGGGUUCCUGUCCAACGUUAAUCGGGGCAGGGUGAGUCGACCCCUAAGGCGAGGCCGAAAGGCGUAGUCGAUGGGAAACGGGUUAAUAUUCCCGUACUUGGUGUUACUGCGAAGGGGGGACGGAGAAGGCUAUGUUGGCCGGGCGACGGUUGUCCCGGUUUAAGCGUGUAGGGUAGG
rnacentral:rRNA from 1 species